rnacentral:lncRNA from 1 species
AUUUAGACCAACUGGCCGUUGCAGGACAAGGUUCGGAUUUACAAAAGAAAAACUUAUUUAGAUUGCUUUUCUUGGGGAGGGGGGAGUUGUUUUCAUUCGGGGAUUAAGGGGAACACAUCCGGCUCCCUUCUGCUAAUCGGGCCUCAGGCCCCCUCCUGUUUCAGGGCCUUUCCAGAGGGGGGAAAAAAAGACACCUCCUGAUGUGCCUCCCAUCACCCCAGAUCUAACUAUUCAGCUCUUACCCUUGCUUUCCUGGCUCGACGCGAACGUACAUAUAUUUUUAUAUAUUUGCACGGUCACACCACCAUCAGCAGGGGUUUCCCCGAGGUCAGAAAAUAGCUAUCGAUUAACCUAUUAGGGACAGUUGCAGAGAAAUAAAAAGGACGUAAAAUAACAGGGAACCUAUAAACAAAGACGCCGUAACUGGCUGUUGGAGUUGUUAAACGACUUAGCCCAGAAAAAAGUCGGAAAUGAGCUGGAAAUGGAGCGGGUAUUGGCAGCGGCCUGGACAAACCCCUCAAGACCCAACUUCUCUCAAAACGUGAGAAGAGGCGAGGAUGUGUCCAGCGCACACGAAGUUUCCGAGCCCGAUCCGGGGUCACACCUGAUCCGGAAAGGCGUGCCUGAGUUGAUGUCUGCAGCUGCACCCUUGUGACCCGCUGGCCCAAAACACAACAAAAACCAAAAACGUCUCCUACCCUGACGGUCUUCUGGGGGAAACCGACAGGAGCUGCGGCGGGCUGGAGCUGGCCGCCUGUCACCCUGGGCAAGAGGUCACAGCGGCAACUGCUUAAGCGACUCAAAGGAAGGUGGGGAGGAAAAGAAAACACGA